UGGGGAAUAUUGCGCAAUGGGGGAAACCCUGAUGCAGCCAUGCCGCGUGUGUGAAGAAGGCCUUCGGGUUGUAAAGCACUUUCAGCGAGGAGGAAAGGUUGGUAGCUAAUAACUGCCAGCUGUGACGUUACUCGCAGAAGAAGCACCGGCUCACUCCGUGCCAGCAGCCGCGGUAAUACGGAGGAUUCAAGCGUUAUCCGGAUUUAUUGGGUUUAAAGGGUGCGUAGGCGGUUUUUUAAGUUAGUCGUUAAAUCUCUGAGCUCAACUCAGACAUGGCGAUUAAUACUGGAGAACUAGAGAUUAGUUGCAGAGGGCGGAAUGUGUAGUGUAGCGGUGAAAUGCUUAGAUAUUACACAGAACACCGAUUGCGAAGGCAGCUCUCUAAGCUACAUCUGACGCUGAGGCACGAAAGCGUGGGGAUCAAACA
rnacentral:rRNA from 1 species